UUUUUAAGCUAUUGCAAUUAUGGGCUUGCAAUAUAUAAUAAUCGUGUGCUAAUAAAAUACCUUUUUGUAAAGACUUUCCUCUACCUUAAUCUACAUAUAAGUAAUACAAUGUCGCAGUUUUAGUUUAACAGGAUAAAAGGCCUUCCCUUUAUAGCAAGCAUUUUAACAGUAGAAUUGUUUGUUUCCUUUUUGCAGUAUCCGGAAAGCACUGAAGUUGAGGAGAUCCCUUUGGGAAUAGUUCCUCACCAAAUUUAAGGGUUUUUGUCCCUGUAUAAUUUAUUAAUAUCCCGUGGGGAAGCUUUUAGUAACUGCGUUUAUGCUCUGAGAAGGUCCUGCAUGCCUUUUGGGAUAACAAGGAAGAAUUGUUAUUAGAGUGUUGCAACGACGCUCUUUACUUGGAGGAGAUUACCGAGUUGGCAUUUACGAAAGGAAAUAUUGAUCAAGUAAAUAGUUAUUGUGUUUGGUCGCCUUACUCAGUAGAUUCUCUUACUGGCGUUUUAUGAACAGUUCUACUUGGACUCUGAUCUUGAGGAUAAUAAAGAGGAUUAAUAUUUAAUUGCUUCAUCAUUUUGCAGCUAUACAAAAUAACUUAAUAAAAUCGACGUUUCUUUAUAGGGGGUAUAGAAUUGCAACCUUGCCGAGUUCUUAGUCCGACAAUCUGACACUCCCGUCACGCAGGCUGGGAGCGCACGUUUGUACUAAAAGCUGAACUUUUGUAUCAAGCAGUCGAUCCAACACCAAUAUUUUAUUUUCAUUUGAUAUGCAAUA